CACGUAGGGUGCGAGCGUUGUCCGGAAUUAUUGGGCGUAAAGAGCUCGUAGGCGGUGUGUCGCGUCGGCCGUGAAAACCUGCAGCUUAACUGUGGGCUUGCGGUCGAUACGGGCAUCACUGGAGUUCGGCAGGGGAGACUGGAAUUCCUGGUGUAGCGGUGAAAUGCGCAGAUAUCAGGAGGAACACCGGUGGCGAAGGCGGGUCUCUGGGCCGACACUGACGCUGAGGCGCGAAAGCCAGGGGAGCGAACGGG
rnacentral:rRNA from 1 species